rnacentral:rRNA from 1 species
GCUUGCCUAAAGGGGCCGUAGCCGGUUUAGUAAGUUCCUGGUUAAAUUUGGCAGCUUAACUGUCACAUUGCUAGGAAUACUGCUUUACUAGGGGGCGGGAAAGGUCUGAGGUACUCCAGGGGUAGCGGUGAAAUGCGAUAAUCCUUGGGGGACCACCAGUGGCGAAAGCGUCAGACUGGAACGCGCCCGACGGUGAGGGACGAAAGCCAGGGGAGCGAACGGGAUUAGAUACCCCGGUAGUCCUGGCUGUAAACGAUGCGCGCUAGGUGUUGGUAGGGCUAUGAGCUGUAUCAGUGCCGUAGGGAAACUGUUAAGCGCGCCGCCUGGGAAGUACGCUCGCAAGAGUGAAACUUAAAGGAAUUGGCGGGGGAGCACCACAAGGGGUGAAGCCUGCGGUUCAAUUGGACUCAACGCCGGGAAACUUACCGGGGGCGACAGCAGAAUGAAGGUCAGGCUGACGACCUUACCAAACAAGCUGAGCGGAGGUGCAUGGCCGUCGCCAGUUCGUGCCGUGAGGUAUCCUGUUAAGUCAGGCAACGAACGAGACCCACACACUUAGUUGCCAUCAAGAGCCUACGGGUUUGUUGGGAACGCUAAGUGGACUGCCAUCGUACAGAUGGAGGAAGGGGUGGGCCACGGCAGGUCCGCAUGCCCCUAAAAGCC